rnacentral:lncRNA from 1 species
CUAUGGGGCUGAGGGGGACUGGGGUCUCAUCUAUGGGGUGGAGGGGGGAGUCCUGUUAUGAAUCUAUGGGGCUGAGGGGGACUAGGGUCAGAUCUAUGGGGCUGAGGGGGUCUGGGGUCAGAUCUAUGGGGCUGGGAGGGGUCCUGAUGUCAGUCUAUGGGGCUGGGGGGGACUAGAGUCACAUCUGUGGGGCAGAGGGGGUCUGGGGUCAGAUCUAUGGGGCUGAGGGGGGUGUCCUGUUGUGAAUCUAUGGGGCUGAGGGGGACUAGGGUCACAUCUAUGGGGCAGAGGGGUCUGGGGUCAGAUCUAUGGGGCUGGGAGGGGUCUUGAUGUCAGUCUAUGGGGCUGGGGGGGACUAAAGUCACAUCUAUGGGGCAGAGGGGGUCUGGGGUCAGAUCUAUGGGGCUGGGAGGGCUGUUGUUGUCAAUCUGUGGGGCUGAGGGGGUCAGAUCUAUGGGGCUGGGAGCGGUCUUGGUGUCAAUCUAUGGGGCUGAGGGGGACUAGGGUCACAUCUAUGGGGCUGAGGGGUCUGGGGUCACAUCUGUGGGGCAGAGGGGGUCUGGGGUCAGAUCUAU